CUCCUAGUACGAGAGGACCGGAGUGGACGCAUCACUGGUGUUCGGGUUGUCAUGCCAAUGGCACUGCCCGGUAGCUAAAUGCGGAAGAGAUAAGUGCUGAAAGCAUCUAAGCACGAAACUUGCCCCGAGAUGAGUUCUCCCUGAGACUUUAAGUCUCCUGAAGGAACGUUGAAGACGACGACGUUGAUAGGUCGGGUGUGUAAGCGCAGCGAUGCGUUGAGCUAACCGAUACUAAUGAACCGUGAGGCUUAACCUU
rnacentral:rRNA from 1 species